rnacentral:rRNA from 1 species
UACGUAGGGGGCAAGCGUUGUCCGGAGUUACUGGGCGUAAAGCGCACGCAGGCGGUCGCGUAAGAGUGCGGGGACAGUGGGCGGCUUAACUGCCCAAGAGUCGCACAGACUGCGUGACUGGAGGGCCAGAGAGGGACCUGGAACUCCGGGUGGAGCGGUGAAAUGCGUAGAGAUCCGGAGGAACACCAAUGGCGAAGGCAGGGUCCUGGCUGGCACCUGACGCUGAUGUGCGAAAGCCAGGGGAGCGAACGGG